rnacentral:piRNA from 1 species
UAAUUACAAAGGUGUGAUCAGGAGG